rnacentral:sRNA from 1 species
CGUGCCCACGGGUAUUGAAAAUCUCCUCCUUCAGUGUUUCACAGGCGUGCAUGAAGUGGAUGUACUGUACUCCUGUACAUGGGUGGCGCUUUGAGGAACGUACAAAGACGCAGCCGAUGUUGCUUUUAUUUCCCCCUUUGGUCGCUCUCAGGGACAAAAACAAUGAGGGAGGGGAAAUAAAGAGAUAGAACAAGGAGUGGUUGGAGUGCAAUCGGAUACACAAUCUGAUUCAGGCAACUCCAUAGCAUAUUGCAUCACUUUCCAUCGACGGCCCGCUGCGAGUACGGCCCCCUUUGAGAUAAUGACCUAGAGGAUUUUUGUAGAAACGCAAAAACCCUAACCUGGCUCUAUAUCAGCCCCUAUUUAGUUCAUUUUAUUCUUCUCUGGCGGUUUUUCAUCUCUGUUCAGUAUGUAGGGGGGGGGAAUAGAAUGAGCCAAAUAGCCAAUUCGAGAAUAUUUAAACGAAAUGC